rnacentral:rRNA from 1 species
GCUUAACACAUGCAAGUCGAGCGAGAAUCGUUUUGCUGAAGGCUUCGGUCUGACGCAGAAUGAGGAAAGCGGCGAACGGGUGAGUAACGCGUGGGCAACCUGGCCUUAAGAAAAGGAUAGCCCCCGGAAACGGGGAGUAAUACUUUAUGAGAAUGAAAGAGGGCACCCUGUUUCUAUUCAAAGCGCAAGCGCUUAAGGAUGGGCCCGCGUAUCAUUAGCUAGUUGGUGAGAUAACAGCCCACCAAGGCAACGAUGAUUAGCCGGUCUGAGAGGGCGAACGGCCACAUUGGAACUGAGAGACGGUCCAAACUCCUACGGGAGGCAGCAGUGGGGAAUAUUGCGCAAUGGAGAAGAACUCUGACGCAGCAAUACCGCGUGAGCGAAGAAGGUCUUCGGAUCGUAAAGCUCUGUUAUCAGGGAAGAAGAAAAUGACGGUACCUGAUGAGCAAGUCCCGGCUAACUACGUGCCAGCCGCCGCCGUAAUAC